rnacentral:rRNA from 1 species
UACGUAGGGGGCUAGCGUUGUCCGGAUUUAUUGGGCGUAAAGAGCUCGUAGGCGGUUUGUCGCGUCGAAUGUGAAAACCCGGGGCUCAACCCCGGGCCUGCAUUCGAUACGGGCAGACUAGAGUUCGGUAGGGGAGUCUGGAAUUCCUGGUGUAGCGGUGAAAUGCGCAGAUAUCAGGAGGAACACCGGUGGCGAAGGCGGGACUCUGGGCCGAUACUGACGCUGAGGAGCGAAAGCGUGGGGAGCAAACAGG